CAUUUGGAGACAACGGCGGUGGAGAUGUAGCCAUCCGGGGCGGACAGCUCCAACUCCCCGGUCUGCUGCGGGGAGGACCGUGGCUGUGGACGCGGAGGACAACUGUGUGCUGAGGCGUGGGGGAAAAACACAAGAAGGACCCGUUAGAAUGAAAAAUGGACGGUGCCGGCGGGACGUCACGAUGCGCCGCCGCCACAAAGCUCAUGAACGCGCUCAUUUGGCUCCCAGCAUGCCGCACGUCCGGAGGGACCGCUGGUCACCAGGAGCUCCUCUGAACAGCCACGGAAGCCCACCCUGCUGAGCUGCACCCAAGGAGCGGAAAACUCACUUGGAAGCAUCAACAAUGAAGUUCACGGUUUCCUCCAAACUUCCAGGUGUGUCAGAGGCUGUGUGUGUUUUUUGUGUGUCGCCGGACGGACGGUGCGUUCGCAGGCCUGAGGGGUUGUCUGUUAUCUUUGGUUAUCUAGCUGUAUGAGUGACGUACAUUCUUCAUAAAGCUAGAUAACCGAAAGUAACAAGAAUCCCAUUACACGCCUGCGCGGGAAAAAGACAAAACAACAGAAGAGAGAAGAGAAGAAGAGGAGAAAAAAAGCAGAUGAAGAAAACAGAGGGCUGGAGGUGAAGGAUGGAUGCUGCUAACCAAUGACGUGAAGAUCUGAAGUCGGGAGGCUCCUGAUCUGAGGACUUUGAGCCAGUGACGUCCUUUUAACGGAGAACUACAUCAUCAUUAACCGUCAUCGUUAACCUGGAGGAAGCAGCUCAAACGCAGUGACAGAUUCUGCUGCAGGAGUCGGCGUUUGUCUGCUGCUGCGACAGAACGUCUUCAUCUGACGACACAAGGACACACAAGACUUUAAAUCCGAGCGAACAAACAGACGCUCGGUCGUCGUGAGGCCGAGACUCGGUGAAGGACGACGCGGUGGAGUCGUUGUGUGUUUGUGUUUCGUACGCCGUGUUCCUGGGAGCUGCUCUGCACAGCUGUUCAGGAAACAUCUGCACUCGAUUCCAAUAUAGGUCAGAGCUUAGAUCGGUCGCUCUCUCUGUCAAACACGCACAAAAAUCACUCAGAUUUAUGUACAUUUACUGAAAAGCUAAAAAAAAAAAAAAAUAGCAAUUAUUAUUAGUGUUACAGCUAUGUUAGCAGUUUAUCCUUACUUUUACCUUAGAGUAGAACAUUUAAAUGCCUGUUUUUUCAUAUGAAUUUACAUUUUUGUUGCAUGUCUUUCAUUUUAUUUGGUUCUAAAUGUUUUCGCUGAAAGUUUGUGUUAAACUUUGAAUGGUUCAAUCAAACUGUUGACAAUCUUUGUGACCGGAUUACUUGAAAGCCCUGAAAUAGACAUUUUUUAAAUGCAAGGCAUCAAUUUUAUGCCCGUUUUCCUAAAUUUAUAAUGUUUUCAUGCAUGUUCAAGAGUGUACAAUACUCCUUGGGUUGUAUUUAUGCAUCUCAGCAUCAUUUUUACUGCUCAGAAUGGUUAAAAAAAUUGCUAAAUAAUUUGGACUGAUUGCACCAGUUGAUGAAAAUGUAAAUCUCAUUUUAUCUUAUAUGUACAACAGUAUCGUAAGACUGGAGCAACCUCAGUGGUGUUUUGCAAUCUUUAAAUUCAUGAUACACACUUUUAAAUCAAGAUGGUAACAAUCACUGUAGGAAAUAUAUUAUUUUUAUGUGUUCUAUAUGCAAGGGAGAGUGAGUAGAUGGUGUUAAAUUUGCAGCGUUGUGUUUUCACAUGUGUACUGUUGUUAAGUUUGCACAUGAAUGUACAGGUUCAGUUUGGGUGAUAAUGUGCUGAACCGCUGACAUGCACUAAAGGAGCACGGGUGCAAUGAGUGCGUUUUUGUUUUCAGUUAGUUUAAGUAGAAGUAUUAAUACAGACAGUCGUUAGCGGAAGAUCUGAGGUGUUUUAGUAGAUUUGAUCAGUAAUCUGUUGCACUGUCAGUCUCAGAGACUCAAAUCUGCGUUUUUUUCCACAACUUUUGUGACAAUGUGAUGCAAGAACUCGACUGCACUCGUUUUGUUUUUUCAUGUGUGAAUCUGUGCAAUAUUUUAAUAUUUAGAUGGAACGAUGUGAACGAGUGAAUUUAUCAGUGUGCACUAUGAACUGCUGUCUCAGGACUUUUAAAAGCUGGAUUUGCACGUGAGCUACUUUGUACUAUGCAACUGUUUCUAUUGCAACUAAUAUAAUCAAUAAAGGCAUUGAUGUUUACAGCGAAACAAUAA